ACGUCACCAGCAGUCAUCGAUGCUGCUGUAAACAGAUACAACAACUUUGUUUCUGAAAGUAUACCCCAUGCCGUCAGCGGCUGUAACCGUUUCUGUUGAAUGGGCUUUGGUCAUCUUUUUGCGGCUAUCAACUAUAAACCACAGAAAUGUGAUUUAUAACACAUCGAAAUGGCAUUUACCAGUCGAUCAAAUAAUUAAGUUGUUUAGCAGGAAAGUACUUACAUUUGAGU